rnacentral:lncRNA from 1 species
CUCUCUCUCUCUCUCUCUCUCUCUCGCAGCAGAAGCGAGAAGCAGCAAUGGGUUCCCUUCUCCUCGCUGACGCUCUCUUCCGUCCAUGUUCCUCCGGUUACCCUACUCUUGCGUCUUUCUUUGCGAAACGACGCGCCGUGGCGUGCCACUGGGGCGAGGAUUCUCUUUGCUCACCGUUGCAUCGGAUCCUGCUUUGCGUCAGAUCUGCCUCAGUCGGAUCCAGGCCCUUGGGGGCAUUGGGUGGGGACGGCGCGCGUUCCUGGCCUCCAAUUGGGCUUCGGUAAUUCAUCAACAGCUGCCGCCGCCAUUGAGCUGAUUGGAUUAGUUCAUACUUUCCUUGUUUGUUUUGGCCGUGUCCUGUAGAUGUUUCCCUCCUCUAAUUCUGAUCUUGUCGAUAAUUGCCUUAGCUCUGACGUGAUUUAGUGAAUUGAUAUAUCUUUUGGAGGAAGUUGUUAAGAUUCCUUUGCAGUUAUUUUUGUUUAUGUACUUUACAUGAAAAGAAAACAUUAAGAUUAUCCGGUAUGUUCUGUGCAGACAAAUCUACGCUUUCAGUUGAUAAAGUGGGGUAGCUGGUUAGAAGGACUCAGUUGACAAUAUUGCGUUGCUUCCGUAUUUAUUUCGUGUUGAGAACUAGCAGUAGAAUAAUUUCAGAGAUGAAAUUUGAAUUAGGGGGAAUACUAUAAUUCAUGACACCAUUGUGGGCUGUCUGCUUAGGGCCCUAAAUGUGGCAUCUUGGUUGUUAGUGUUGAAGAGCGGAAAUCACAUUGAUUAAAAAACCAAGAGUUUGUGCCUUUAGG